rnacentral:rRNA from 1 species
GACAGAGGGUGCAAACGUUGUUCGGAAUUACUGGGCGUAAAGCGCGUGUAGGCGGCUAAGUAAGUCGGGUGUGAAAGCCCUCAGCUCAACUGAGGAAGUGCGCCCGAAACUGCAUAGCUAGAGUCCUGGAGAGGAAGGUGGAAUGCUUGGUGUAGAGGUGAAAUUCGUAGAUAUCAAGCGGAACACCGGUGGCGAAGGGCGG